AACGAACGCUGGCGGCAGGCUUAACACAUGCAAGUCGAACGGAUCCUUCGGGAUUAGUGGCAGACGGGUGAGUAACGCGUGGGAACGUACCCUUUGCUACGGAAUAACUCAGGGAAACUUGAGCUAAUACCGUAUGUGCCCUACGGGGGAAAGAUUUAUCGGCAAAGGAUCGGCCCGCGUUGGAUUAGCUAGUUGGUGGGGUAAUGGCCUACCAAGGCGACGAUCCAUAGCUGGUCUGAGAGGAUGAUCAGCCACACUGGGACUGAGACAUGGCCCAGACUCCUACGGGAGGCAGCAGUGGGGAAUAUUGGACAAUGGGCGCAAGCCUGAUCCAGCCAUGCCGCGUGAGUGAUGAAGGUCUUAGGAUUGUAAAGCUCUUUCACCGGUGAAGAUAAUGACGGUAGCCGGAGAAGAAGCCCCGGCUAACUUCGUG
rnacentral:rRNA from 1 species